AAAUUGAAGAGUUUGAUCAUGGCUCAGAUUGAACGCUGGCGGCAGGCCUAACACAUGCAAGUCGAACGGUAACAGGAAGCAGCUUGCUGCUUUGCUGACGAGUGGCGGACGGGUGAGUAAUGUCUGGGAAACUGCCUGAUGGAGGGGGAUAACUACUGGAAACGGUGGCUAAUACCGCAUAACGUCGCAAGACCAAAGAGGGGGACCUUCGGGCCUCUUGCCAUCAGAUGUGCCCAGAUGGGAUUAGCUUGUUGGUGAGGUAACGGCUCACCAAGGCGACGAUCCCUAGCUGGUCUGAGAGGAUGACCAGCCACACUGGAACUGAGACACGGUCCAGACUCCUACGGGAGGCAGCAGUGGGGAAUAUUGCACAAUGGGCGCAAGCCUGAUGCAGCCAUGCCGCGUGUAUGAAGAAGGCCUUCGGGUUGUAAAGUACUUUCAGCGGGGAGGAAGGUGUUGUGGUUAAUAACCGCAGCAAUUGACGUUACCCGCAGAAGAAGCACCGGCUAACUCCGUGCCAGCAGCCGCGGUAAUACGGAGGGUGCAAGCGUUAAUCGGAAUUACUGGGCGUAAAGCGCACGCAGGCGGUCUGUCAAGUCG
rnacentral:rRNA from 1 species